AGUGAACGCUGGCGGUAGGCCUAACACAUGCAAGUCGAACGGCAGCACAGUAAGAGCUUGCUCUUACGGGUGGCGAGUGGCGGACGGGUGAGGAAUACAUCGGAAUCUACUUUUUCGUGGGGGAUAACGUAGGGAAACUUACGCUAAUACCGCAUACGACCUACGGGUGAAAGCAGGGGAUCUUCGGACCUUGCGCGAUUGAAUGAGCCGAUGUCGGAUUAGCUAGUUGGCGGGGUAAAGGCCCACCAAGGCGACGAUCCGUAGCUGGUCUGAGAGGAUGAUCAGCCACACUGGAACUGAGACACGGUCCAGACUCCUACGGGAGGCAGCAGUGGGGAAUAUUGGACAAUGGGCGCAAGCCUGAUCCAGCCAUACCGCGUGGGUGAAGAAGGCCUUCGGGUUGUAAAGCCCCUUUGUUGGGAAAGAAAAGCAGCAGGUUAAUACCCCGCUGUUCGGACGGUACCCAAAGAAUAAGCACCGGCUAACUUCGU
rnacentral:rRNA from 1 species